rnacentral:rRNA from 1 species
AUUGAACGCUGGCGGCAGGCCUAACACAUGCAAGUCGAACGAGCGGCGGACGGGUGAGUAAUGUCUGGGAAACUGCCUGAUGGAGGGGGAUAACUACUGGAAACGGUAGCUAAUACCGCAUACCAUCAGAUGUGCCCAGAUGGGAUUAGCUUGUUGGUGGGGUAAUGGCUCACCAAGGCGACGAUCCCUAGCUGGUCUGCGAGGAUGACCCGCCACACGGGAACUGGGACACGGUCCAUACUCCUAAGGGAGGCAGCAGUGGGGAAAAUGGCACAAUGGGCUCAAGCCUGAUGCAGCCAUGCCGCGUGUAUGAAGAAGGCCUUCGGGUUUUAAAGUACUUUCAGCGGGGAGGCGUUACCCGCAGAAGAAGCACCGGCUAACUCCGUGCCAGCAGCCGCGGUAAUUC